GGGGGAGUAGUUAACUAUAACAUUUACCUUGCAAGUAAAAAGUAUUGAAACAAUCAAUCUCCCUUA
rnacentral:tRNA from 1 species